UUCGUGGAAUCUGAUGUGGACAAGAUUUCAAUAGGUUUCUUCGGUACCGGAGAUUGCUAUUUAUCAGAGGCGAUAGCAAGUUUCUUUCAUUUUCUCAAGUUUCUCACUAGCUCUCCUAAACAAAAUGGUAAGCUUCAUGAUGUACGUCAUUAUGUGUCCCUACUACAUGUUCUUAUUUUUUCCGACAUUUGUCUAACCUUCCUAAUUGUCAGUAUAAACGAGGAGGUUACAUGCGUGGUGUAGUUUCACAAGGAAGACUAGCCCCUUCCCCUUCCCCUUCCCCUUCCCCUUCCCUAAACCCUCAACAACUACAUGUUGAUGGACAACAUGGACACAUUGGCCCUUCCUCCAUCCCUCAAGAACAUAUUAGGGAACAACUUGGACACAUGCAAACCGAAUCUCCUUCAAUUCCGCAUUCCAUGCAACACUCGAAUGAUGAGGGAGGUGAAGAAGAUAGCCGAUUCGUCAUAUGCCCAUAUGGAGAUUCAGGAGUACUUCAUUUUUUUUUAGUAUAUGUAAUAUUUAGGGUCAUCCCUUCGCUUGGAUUUUAGAUAUGGAUGUCAACUGAAUUGUCCAUGUUGCAAAUUAUCCGUAUGCAUUUACUUACAUCUCCUUUUCAUUUCAUUGUUUCAUUGUCCAUAUCGUUCUAACCUAUUUGCAUAUUCACGGAUGCUACAUACGUUGUGAGGCAACUUAAUAAAAUAGUGAAUAACUAUUGGAGGGGGUCGUGGAUUAGUUACAACAGCGCGCCAAAACAAGUAAAGGAUUUGUUGUGAAAUGAGUUCAAGCAGAAGUUCAGCUGGGAUGAAAAGGAAGAGGAUGAAGUUAAAAGAAUUUUUAAGAAGAAAGCCGGUGAUCACAUACGAAAUGUGAUGAAUAAAGCAACGAGAAAUCAAGUGAAGCCACAUUUUAUUAUUGGUGGCGAUUGGACAGAAAUAAAGA